UACGAAGGGGGCUAGCGUUGCUCGGAAUUACUGGGCGUAAAGCGCACGUAGGCGGUCUUUUUAAGUCGGGGGUGAAAUCCUGGAGCUCAACUCCAGAACUGCCUUCGAUACUGGAAGACUUGAGUCCGGGAGAGGUGAGUGGAACUGCGAGUGUAGAGGUGAAAUUCGUAGAUAUUCGCAAGAACACCAGUGGCGAAGGCGGCUCACUGGCCCGGUACUGACGCUGAGGUGCGAAAGCGUGGGGAUCAAACAGGG
rnacentral:rRNA from 1 species